CUCUGCUGUCACACGAGGGUGUCGAUUGGACCCUCUCCGCCACCGCCACCGAGCACUGAUAGUCUUCUCCGGCCUCAGUCGACCCGCCCUAUCAUACUAGGACUUUGGAUUCAUCAUCUCAUAGGGCUCUAGUUAUCUGCGUUGAUAGAUUGCUCCGUCUGCAGUAGAGGCAAUGGGGACAUGUAAGUUGAUCAUAACGGUCGAACUUGCUCGUGGCCUGAUUCCCAGGGAUGGUCAUGGCUCUCCCAGCGCCUACGUUGAGCUUUGCUUUGAUGGCCAACGGAUCCGCACAACUAUCAAGGAGAAAGAUCGGAACCUGGCAUGGAAUGAGAGCUUCUGGUUCGACGUGUCGCCAGAUCCAUCUAAUAUUCAUGACCUCGUUCUUGAAGCUAGUGCGUAUAACACCAACGAACCAAUCCAAGGUCGCGGAAAGUAUUUUCUUGGCAUGGUCACACCAAAUGUGGCCUCAUUCCACCGCUUCUAUGAACCCAAACACAGACGACAAGCAGCCCUUUAUCCACUGGAAAGGCGGCGUGGGAUGCCCAUGGUUGGUGUGAGAGGGGAAUUGCUUCUAAAUGGAUACAUCCUUGAUGAGAGCCCCACCAGAGCUCCCAUCCCGUCUUCAGCACCAAUGGGAUUAUGUGUGGAGGUCAUAAAUGCUAAUAACCUCAGGCCAGUGGACUACCCGGUCGUUGUUACUAAAACAUCUUCAAAUGACUUUAUCGACCUUACUCUUAGAACAUGGAAAAAUGUGUUACAGAGAUCACUAGGGUAUGGAUCCCUAGAAACAUACUACGAACAAAUAAAGAGAUGCAUCCAAAUAGGUCCAAUGUGCGUGAACCCUAACCUCUCCAAAAGGCUUCCUAUAAUGAAGGUUAUCCGUAUGCUCCAAGGAUCGGAAAGUAUCAGCUGUGACACUAGCAAUGAGACAACAACAUAGUUGCAAGAUAGAUGCAGAGACCGGGGGUCUUCCUCUUUUUCUAAAAAAAGUGUGGCGAGCUGCUGGAUGACCCUUGUAAGAGACCAUGCAUGGGCAGGCAUUAUCUCGAUCGGCUUCUUCACGAAUAUUCUCGAUUGUGUAGCGUGCUGAAUCGUUUGCAUUGGAUGGUGUAUCUACUGUUGAACUUAAAUAUAACUUAGGACAAUUCCUGUAUUGCACUGCCUGUCCAAAUCUGCAUAA